rnacentral:rRNA from 1 species
ACGUACACUCCUACGGGAGGCAGCAGUGGGGAAUAUUGGACAAUGGGCGCAAGCCUGAUCCAGCCAUGCCGCGUGAGUGAUGAAGGCCCUAGGGUUGUAAAGCUCUUUUGUGCGGGAAGAUAAUGACGGUACCGCAAGAAUAAGCCCCGGCUAACUUCGUGCCAGCAGCCGCGGUAAUACGAAGGGGGCUAGCGUUGCUCGGAAUCACUGGGCGUAAAGGGUGCGUAGGCGGGUCUUUAAGUCAGGGGUGAAAUCCUGGAGCUCAACUCCAGAACUGCCUUUGAUACUGAAGAUCUUGAGUUCGGGAGAGGUGAGUGGAACUGCGAGUGUAGAGGUGAAAUUCGUAGAUAUUCGCAAGAACACCAGUGGCGAAGGCGGCUCACUGGCCCGAUACUGACGCUGAGGCACGAAAGCGUGGGGAGCAAACAGGAUUAGAAACCCUGGUAGUCCCAUG